AGAGUUUGAUCAUGGCUCAGAUUGAACGCUGGCGGGAAUGCUUAACACAUGCAAGUCGAACGGUGAACCAGGGCUUGCCCUGGGGAUCAGUGGCGAACGGGUGAGUAACACGUGACCAACCUGCCCCUUGCUCUGGGAUAACCCCGGGAAACCGGAGCUAAUACCGGAUACGAGACCGUGCGGCAUCACGCGGUCUGGAAAGUUUUUCGGCAAGGGAUGGGGUCGCGGCCUAUCAGCUUGUUGGUGGGGUAAUGGCCUACCAAGGCGACGACGGGUAGCCGGCCUGAGAGGGCGACCGGCCACACUGGGACUGAGACACGGCCCAGACUCCUACGGGAGGCAGCAGUGGGGAAUAUUGCGCAAUGGGCGAAAGCCUGACGCAGCGACGCCGCGUGAGGGAUGACGGCCUUCGGGUUGUAAACCUCUUUCAGCAGGGAAGAAGCGAAAGUGACGGUACCUGCAGAAGAAGCACCGGCUAACUACGUGCCAGCAGCCGCGGUAAUACGUAGGGUGCAAGCGUUGUCCGGAAUUAUUGGGCGUAAAGAGCUCGUAGGCGGUCUGUCGCGUCGGAUGUGAAAAUCCAGGGCUCAACCCUGGACCUGCAUUCGAUACGGGCAGACUAGAGUUCGGUAGGGGAGACUGGAAUUCCUGGUGUAGCGGUGAAAUGCGCGAUAUCAGGAGGAACACCGGUGGCGAAGGCGGGUCUCUGGGCCGAAACUGACGCUGAGGAGCGAAAGCGUGGGGAGCAAACAGGAUUAGAUACCCUAGUAGUCC
rnacentral:rRNA from 1 species